rnacentral:misc_RNA from 1 species
GUCGAGCCGCGUAAUCCAUAUUCGGGUGUCGUUUAUUUGACUACUUGAGAAGGAUCGUCGUAGGUAUUUGAAAAGAUAUUCCAUAAUAAUAAAACUGUUGAAUUGUUAUAAAAGUAAUACGAAAAUGGUUUAUUAAAAAAUUAUUUAGAAUGUAAAAUUUUAAAGCAUUCUAUACAUAGUUGAGGUUGGUCGGGACAAUUUGGACAAUAAGUUGUUGUUUUCCUCAAAUUCUUUCGUGCCUUUGUUCGGUCCAUUCGACGUCUUUUAUUUGCAUAACAUAUUUGCAUGCGCGUCUAAUGCUUCUUCCGGAAUCAUUUUUCCGAACGGCGAUAUUAUGCUGACUCCGUCGAAGACGAGGAUUUUUUGUAUUUUCAGACAACUCUAAUAAUUUUGCAACUAAUAAUUG